GAGAUUGUAGGGGGACAAACAGCAGAGCAGCUAAAGCAUACUUGUAUAUAUGUAUAUAUCCAUGCCAUGCCAACUUGGAUGUGUUUGCCAGUUAUUUGAUUCGGUGUGGGGAGGACUUCAUCCCGUGUCAGUACUCACGGUCUUAAAUGGGAGCACUUUACCCUACUUAUUUGUUUUUUAACUUCUGAAGGAAUGACUGAAAACUCAUCCAAAGCAAGAACAACUGUGGUUACCUCACUGCUCUGGCUCUGUGCUGACAGAGGGCACUGGGGAGAGAUCUAUCACUGCUGAUGUUGAGGCUUUGCCGAUAACCUCUGCCCGGGGCUGGGUGAAGCUACAAACGCUGCCCAGUCUUCGGAGGUACAGGACCAGUCUGUCAGGCUGUUGGCACACAACAACAAUUGUUUUAUUGUCAGAUUUUACGUUACUCAGUUUUCACACAGAAGAUUCAAGUUUGCAAAUUACUGCUAGGUUAAGUCUACUAGGAAGAUAUCAAGCAGCAGGAGCAGUUUGGCACCAAGCAAAGGAGAGAGGUCUGUUCCUGGCAAUGGCGUGCAGUGUGAUGGAAGGAUGCUUGGUGGCAGUUCCCAUCCAAUGCAAUCAUGGUCAUCUGCAAGGAAUCAGUUUUCAAAGAAGCAUUUGACGGACUGACACCCACUGGAGCCGGGGACAAGAUGAAAUGCUCCGAUUCAAAGCAGAUUAGGACUUGCUGUUCUGGAAAUCAAGUGAGUUUUGAAGAGGCUGAUGAAGCUCAAUUUCAAAACUAUCAAUCUGGUUUUUAAAAUGUGUUGGGAUCCAGACUGGCUAUAGCAAAAUAGAGUUUUACACCAUACAGUGGUCAUCCCUAUUUGACAACGGUGGAAGACUGUGACUGUACAAUAGCUAUUGAUAAUCCUUCUAUAAAGGACUAAUGCCUACUGAGUGACACGGGGCAUUGCUCUCAACACGGGAUAUAUGCUUCCAAGGUACCUGCUCUGCGAGGACCACAGCCAGCUGAGAACUGAAAGCUAUGGGAGAGCGUGGCAUGCUUUGUAGAGAGGGCAACAGUAAGGAGAAAUGCUAAACAUAUUAGACAAAUCAUCUCUUCUUUCAUUGAACAACUCCAGCCAUGACCUCUGAUCCUCUUGGUAAAAGCUGAAUUUAAUUUCUGCUGUCCCCCACCCAAUAUUUCUUGUGCAUUUGCUAUAUAGCUUCCUGCAAUCCCAUUUAUUGCUCUCCAGAGCUCACAGAAUGUUUGCUUCCUGCAAACUUCGAUUUAUAUUUUUGCCAUUAACUGUAGAUACUCUUUUGUUUGCACACUUAGAGAACUUUCAGUAUUAAGUUUCAAUGUGUUAACAUGGAAUAAACUGGAA
ensembl:lncRNA